UACCAGACCACAAACGUGGGUGUUGAUUCUAAGGAUACCCCCAAUAAACAUCUUUCGUGCUAAAGCCCAUUCCAGAAUUUACUUCCCAGCUAUCUUUGAUGUUCAUAUUGUCAGAGGUGGUGGCCACUGAAAUAGGCAAAGACAUGGAGCAUAUCUUGGGUCCAGGUAAAGGAGGUGGGUGCACACAAGUGAAAAGAUGUUGCUGAAGUCACGUGGCUUCAAGCAGUAGAGCUGACUGUCCUCUAGUCCAGUUGUCCCUACAGGAUGAAAGCUUCUCUCCAUUACAGAGACCUUGGGAGUCCAGAGGAAGGUCUUUUUACCAUCAGCAUUCUCUACUGUGUUCAAGGACUGUCAGCCAAAGAUGGCCAGCUUUCCUUCAGAAAGAAAUGCAUUCAAAGAACCUACAUUCACAACAUAAAGAAAUAAAGUACACACAAGACCGCCAAGCAUUAAGAUUCUCCUGUGGAGCCAGGCAACAAUCCUUUAAAUGAAGACAGACAGCUAGGUGGCUGCAGCCCAGCGCUACACCUCACCCCUCCCUCAGUGUCAUGCAGAAAAAAUGUAUUCAGAAGUCAGAAGUGAAGUUGUGCAAAUCCAUCAUUGACACUAGCUUCAGGGUUACCUCGGGGGAGCUGAAUGUACCCCUGCCAGAGAGCUGGAUGGAUGAUGAUGGGGACAGAAAUUCUGGGGGAGUUGUAAAUGGCAGCCACUGCCUCUAUAGGAAACCCAAAGGGAACACAGCAGAAGAGGAGGUGGUGGAGGAGCCACUGCCCUCUCGAAGGGUUCGAUGUCAUUCUGCAGACACAACCAAAUAACUUUUUCUUCCCUGCUGCUCCUCCAUUUG
rnacentral:lncRNA from 1 species